rnacentral:rRNA from 1 species
CAGCCGCCACGGUAAUACGUAGGUCCCGAGCGUUGUCCGGAUUUAUUGGGCGUAAAGCGAGCGCAGGCGGUUUGAUAAGUCUGAAGUUAAAGGCUGUGGCUCAACCAUAGUUCGCUUUGGAAACUGUCAAACUUGAGUGCAGAAGGGGAGAGUGGAAUUCCAUGUGUAGCGGUGAAAUGCGUAGAUAUAUGGAGGAACACCGGUGGCGAAAGCGGCUCUCUGGUCUGUAACUGACGCUGAGGCUCGAAAGCGUGGGGAGCGAACAGGAUUAGAUACCCGCGUAGUCCCUGUCUCUUAUACA